CCAUGGGGAAGCCAUGCAGAAACAGCCCAUGGAGAUGAAGAAGUCACACUUGGCUUUAUCACUUGUACUCAUGAUGCCACCAGGAAGGCCUGCUGCACUUGCCCCACCUGCCAGAACAGAUGUCUCCCAUCCUGUACCAAUUUGUCAUGAAUUGUGCUUAGGAAGUGGCAGGAUGGCUUGGCUAGAACAACCCAGAUCGCUACUGGCCACAUGCCCUGUGAAGGGAGGCAGAAGAGUAGGAGAGGAGUCUUUUUUUAGCUCAGCACACAAGCCAACUAGGCUCUCAUGCGCUGGCCAGUCCAUCAGCGAAACAAGAAAGCAAGUGACCAAACCACCAGUGUGUCUGAAGAAUCUGUUGCAUGUCCAGAACAGCUAAACAGUUUGGAAAAACACAACAGAACUGGAAGACUCACACUUCCCGAUUUUAAAACCUAACUACAAAGUGACAGUAAUCAAGACAGUGUGGUGCUGGCAUAAGGACAAAUAUACAAAUCCACGGAAUAGAACUGAGAGUCCAGAAAUAAACCCUCACACUUACAUUCCAUUGUUUUUUUGUUUUUUGGCAAGAGUGCCAAAACAAUUAACGGUAGGGAAAGAACAGUUUUUUCAAUCAAUGGAGGUAGGACACCUGGGUAUUCAUCCACAGGCAAAACAAUGAACUUGGGCCUACUUUACAGCAGGUACAACAACGGACUCAAGAUGGAUCAUUAAGAGCUAAAACUAUAAAACACGUAGAAGAGGGGCGCCUGGGUGGCUCAGUGGGUUAAGCCUCUGCCUUUGGCUCAGGUCAUGAUCUCAGGGUCCUGGGAUCGAGUCCCACAUCAGGCUCUCUGCUUGGCAGGGAGCCUGCUUCCUCCUCUCUCUCUCUCUGCCUGCCUCUCUGCCUACUUGUGAUCUCUCUCUGUCAAAUAAAUAAAUCUUAAAACACAUAGAAGAAAAUACUGAAGUGAAGCUCUAAGAUCUUGGAUUAGGCAGUAAUUUCUUAAGUAAGAUAUCAGAAGCCCAAGCAAGAAAAGAAAGGUCAGACUCCACCAGAACCGUAAACUUUUGUGCUCCAAAGGAUAUCAUUAAUAAAGAGAAGACAACUCACGGAGAUGGAGAAUAUAUCUGCAAACCCCAUAUCUGACAAGGGACAUAUAUUUAGAAUACAUAAAGCACUUUUAAAAUGAAAUAAUAAAAAGAUAACCCAAUGAAAACAUGUGCAAAGGAUCUGAAUAGACAUUUCUCCAGAGGAGAUCCACAAAUGACCAAUAAAAACAGGAAAAGAUACUCAGCACCAUUAACCAUCAGGAAAAUACAAAUCAAAACCACAGCGAGAUACCGCUUCAUAACCAUUAGACCCACAAUACAAAAGACAGAUAAAAAGUUUUGGUGAAAAUGUGGAGAAGUUGGAAUUCUCAGACACUGCUGGUUGGGAUGUAAAAUGGUGCAGCCAGUUUGGGAAACAGUUUCGAAGUUUUGCUCACUCCUAGGCACAUACACUGAAGAGAAAUAAAAACCGUAUGUCCACACAAACAUUUGUAUUUGUGAAUUUUCAUACUAGCCAAUACGCAGAAGCAGUCAAGACAUCUAUCAACCAAGGGAUGGAUAAAUAAAAUGUAUAACCGUACAGUGGAAUAUUACUUAGCUGUAAAAUGGAAUGAAGUACAGAUACAUGCUACACCACAGACAAACCUUGGAAACAUGCUGAGUGAAAAGAAGCCAGACACAAAAGACCAUGUAUUGUAUAAUUCCACCUAUGUGAAAUAUCCAGAUCAGGUGAAUCACAGAGACAAAAAGUGGAUUAAUGGCUGCUAGAGGUUGGAGAAUGGGGAGAUGGAGGAAUGACUGCUGAUAGAAACAGCGCUUCUUUUUUGGGUUGACAAAAAUGUUCUGGAAUUACACAGUGGUGAUGGCUGGAUAACCCUGUGAUAUACUAAAAUGUGUAUAUCUGUAGGCUUUAA